GAGUCCACAUCUCAGCAAAUCCAUACUAAGGUCAGGCUGUUGAGCAAAAUGGCAAAAAAAGAAGAUCGUGGAAAUCCAUCUCAGACUCUGGAUGCUCCAGUUAGCAUAUUAAAUGUUAAAGUUCAUGACAGCAAAAUUAAAAAAGGGUGAAUAAACAUGGUUUGUUUGGAAAGGUUUCCAGAAUAAAGGCCAUCAUCUUUCAAAAGAAUAUGCCAGAAUAUGACUUAGGUUUGCCAUGUUGCAAACCUAAGUUUGCAACAUGGCAAACCUGCAACAACGUCUUUUAGGUUGAUGAUACCAAAGUAGAUUAUGUUAUUGCAUGUUACAGUCCAUCUGCACAAAGGCCUCAUACUGAAUGUAAAGCACAGUGGUGGAGGUAUAAUGAUUUGGACUUGUUCUGCAGCCAUAUGACCUAGACACCUUGCAGUCAUUGGGUCAACCUUGAAUUUAUCUGUAUAUUAAAGUCUUCUAUAGUCAUAUGUGUAGCUACCCUAAAGCUGAAGCUUGUCCCAUGUUAUCAUUAACAAGACAAUCAUCCCAAACACACAGCAGCAAACCUACAACAUAUAAAAAAAAUAUCAAGGUUAGCAAUCAAAGUCCAGAUCCUGUCAUACCCAAAGAGGUUGUGUGCAGGUGGUUGUGUUUGUGCUGUUUUUGUCUCUCCCUACAGGGUGUGAUUGGCAGGUGCAGCUCCUCAGGUGUUACCCGUUGAGCCCAAUCAAGAGGGCUUCUUAAGGACCAGGAACCGGGAGGCAUCCGACUGUUAUCUCUGCCACCUGACUGGUGUCUGUAGUUCUCCUAUCAUUCAUGAUCCUACUGUUACCCGAGUCUCUGUUCCUGCCUUUUACAGAUUUAAUUCCUCUGGUGACUAUGUCUCUGAUUCCAUGCCCUUCUUCUUCGUGUUUUGCUCAGAUGAGCUUCUUGGAUCCGGCCGUGAGUCCCCCUUCCUUUACUGUCUCCAGCCUCACGACUAAGAAAUCAGCUGCAGGAAACACAGAACUAUUGCUCACCUACCUGUCCACCCUUCAACACCGCUCACUUUGCUUAAGCGCAGCCACUCAAAAGAUCACACAAAGAGAGAUUCAGUACUGAGAACCUCCAUGCCACUCCUCCUGCCAAACUCAGCCUCUGAGGGAGAACUUACCUACUCCAACAAGCCUUUGCCCACCAUCUACAUGGCUUCCCAGACCCCUCCAGCAGAUCCAGUCAGUGUUCUGUUUCAACCCUGCUGUGCUUCAAUAAACCUGUGAAACUAC